rnacentral:rRNA from 1 species
UACAGAGGGUGCAAGCGUUAAUCGGAAUUACUGGGCGUAAAGCGUGCGUAGUCGGCCAUUCAAGUCGGGUGUGAAAGCCCCGGGCUCAACCUGGGAACUGCAUUGGUGACUGGCAGGCUUUGAGUGUGGCAGAGGGAGGUAGAAUUCCACGUGUAGCAGUGAAAUGCGUAGAGAUGUGGAGGAAUACCGAUGGCGAAGGCAGCCUCCUGGGCCAACACUGACGCUCAUGCACGAAAGCGUGGGGAGCAAACAGG